GGACCCAUAGCUUAGACUGGCUGGAGCGCCCGGCUGAUAACCGGGAGGUCGUGCGUUCAAAUCGCAUUGGGUCCA
rnacentral:tRNA from 1 species